AACGAACGCUGGCGGCAUGCCUAACACAUGCAAGUCGAACGAGACCUUCGGGUCUAGUGGCGCACGGGUGCGUAACGCGUGGGAACCUGCCCUUAGGUUCGGAAUAACUCCCCGAAAGGGGUGCUAAUACCGCUUAAUGUCUUCGGACCAAAGAUCUAUCGCCUUUGGAUGGGCGCGCGUUGGAUUAGCUAGUUGGUAGGGUAAAAGCCUACCAAGGCGACGAUCCAUAGCUGGUCUGGGAGGAUGAUCAACCGCACUGGGAAUGAGACACGGCCCAGAAUCCUACGGGAGGGAGCAGAGGGGAAUAUUGGGCAAUGGGCGAAAGCCUGAUCCAGCAAUGCCGCGUGAGUGAUGAAGGCCUUAGGGUUGUAAAGCUCUUUGACCCGGGAUGAUAAUGACAGUACCGGGAGAAUAAGCACCGGCUAACUCCGUG
rnacentral:rRNA from 1 species